CUGAUGUAAAAGCAAACCAUAUCUCAUCCUUUUUCAUUGUAUGAGUAGCUGGCUCCCCUUUGUGUGCAAUUUGCAAUUCAUUACUGCCACAAUCAAAUUAACAUUGUACUUUACUCCCGACAAUACUCCUCCUUUGAAUUUCCAUCAAGAGAAGAAGAAAUGAAAUGAAGAGAGCUAGGGAGACACAUGGAGAGAAGGAAGUGUGGGGGAGGAGGAAAAGGUGAGCGGUAGAGAGGUUUCUAGUACUAGUUUCUAGUAAUGUAAACUUCAGGGAAGAUGUGAGCAGGAAUAGAACUGAGACAUUAAGAGUCAGCAGCUCUAUUCACAGCAGAGUGGAAAGCGAGGGAGAGAAACAGAGAGCGAGGGAGAGAAACAGAGAGCGAGGGAGAGAAACAGAGAGCGAGGGAGAGAAACAGAGAGCGAGGGAGAGAAACAGAGAGCGAGGGAGAGAAACGGAGAGCGAGGGAGAGAAACGGAGAGCGAGGGAGAGAAACGGAGAGCGAGGGAGAGAAACGGAGAGCGAGGGAGAGAAACAGAGAGCGAGGGAGAGAAACAGAGAGCGAGGGAGAGAAACAGAGAGCCAGGGAGAGAAACAGAGAGCGAGGGAGAGAAACAGAGAGCGAGGGAGAGAAACAGAGAGCGAGGGAGAGAAACAGAGAGCGAGGGAGAGAAACAGAGAGCGAGGGAGAGAAACAGAGAGCGAGGGAGAGAAACAGAGAGCGAGGGAGAAAAACAGAGAGCGAGGGAGAGAAACAGAGAGCGAGGGAGAGAAACAGAGAGCGAGGGAGAGAAACAGAGAGCCAGGGAGAGAAACAGAGAGCCAGGGAGAGAAACAGAGAGCGAGGGAGAGAAACAGAGAGCGAGGGAGAGAAACAGAGAGCGAGGGAGAGAAACAGAGAGCGAGGGAGAGAAACAGAGAGCGAGGGAGAGAAACAGAGAGCGAUGGAGAGAAACAGAGAGCGAGGGAGAGAAACAGAGAGCGGGAACAAGUGGAAGAAGAAAAAAAAGGAGGGGUAGAAGAAGGAGGUUGUUCUGGUUGACCGCACCGAUCUGUUAGUCGGGCCAAGC
rnacentral:lncRNA from 1 species